CACUGAAACACGGGCCAGACUCCUACGGGAGGCAGCAGUGGGGAAUCUUGCACAAUGGGGGAAACCCUGAUGCAGCGACGCCGCGUGAGCGAUGAAGCCCUUCGGGGUGUAAAGCUCUUUCGGCAGGGAAGAUUAUGACGGUACCUGCAGAAGCAGCUGCGGCUAACUACGUGCCAGCAGCCGCGGUAAUACGUAGGCAGCGAGCGUUGUUCGGAGUUACUGGGCGUAAAGGGUGUGUAGGCGGCUCUCUAAGUUUGGUGUGAAAUCUCCCGGCUCAACCGGGAGGGUGCGCCGAAUACUGAAGGGCUAGAGUGUGGGAGAGGAAAGUGGAAUUCCUGGUGUAGCGGUGAAAUGCGUAGAUAUCAGGAGGAACACCGGUGGUGUAGACGGCUUUCUGGACCAUAACUGACGCUGAGACGCGAAAGCGUGGGUAGCAAACAGGAUUAGAUACCCUGGUAGUCCACGACCUAAACGAUGCAUAUUUGGUGUGGGUCAUUCAGUUGAUCCGUGCCGGAGCUAACGCGUUAAAUAUGCCGCCUGGGGAGUACAGUCGCAAGGCUGAAACUCAAAGGAAU
rnacentral:rRNA from 1 species